UGGGGAAUAUUGCACAAUGGGCGCAAGCCUGAUGCAGCCAUGCCGCGUGUGUGAAGAAGGCCUUCGGGUUGUAAAGCACUUUCAGCGGGGAGGAAGGCGUUAAGGUUAAUAACCUUGGCGAUUGACGUUACCCGCAGAAGAAGCACCGGCUAACUCCGUGCCAGCAGCCGCGGUAAUACGGAGGGUGCAAGCGUUAAUCGGAAUUACUGGGCGUAAAGCGCACGCAGGCGGUCUGUCAAGUCGGAUGUGAAAUCCCCGGGCUCAACCUGGGAACUGCAUUCGAAACUGGCAGGCUAGAGUCUUGUAGAGGGGGGUAGAAUUCCAGGUGUAGCGGUGAAAUGCGUAGAGAUCUGGAGGAAUACCGGUGGCGAAGGCGGCCCCCUGGACAAAGACUGACGCUCAGGUGCGAAAGCGUGGGGAGCAAACGGG
rnacentral:rRNA from 1 species